rnacentral:rRNA from 1 species
AUGUCGCUGAUCCGUCGCAGCAACGUGUUCGACCCCUUCUCCCUCGACCUCUGGGACCCCUUCGACGGCUUCCCCUUCGGCUCCGACGGCAGCGGCAGCCUCGUCCCGCGCACCUCCUCUGACACGGUGGCCUUCGCCGGCGCGCGGAUCGACUGGAAGGAGACGCCCGUGGCGCACGUGUUCAAGGCGGACGUGCCAGGGCUGAAGAAGGAGGAGGUGAAGGUGGAGGUGGAGGACGGCAACAUCCUCCAGAUCAGCGGCGAGCGGAACAAGGAGCAGGAGGAGAAGACCGACACGUGGCACCGCGUGGAGCGCAGCAGCGGCAAGUUCCUGCGCAGGUUCAGGCUCCCGGAGAACGCCAAGGCGGAGCAGGUGAAGGCGUCCAUGGAGAACGGCGUGCUCACCGUCACCGUGCCCAAGGAGGAGGCCAAGAAGCCCGAGGUCAAGUCCAUCCAGAUCUCCAGCUAG